CCCGCCGGCGACCGGCACACGGGUGAGUAACACGUAUGCAACCUGGCCGCCACAGGGGGAUAACCCGCGGAAACGCGGCCUAAUACCCCGUGACGCCACCGGAGGGCAUCCUCCGGUGGCCAAAGGAGCGAUCCGGUGGCGGAUGGGCAUGCGGCGCAUUAGCUAGACGGCGGGGUGACGGCCCACCGUGGCGACGAUGCGUAGGGGUUCUGAGAGGAAGGCCCCCCACACUGGGACUGAGACACGGCCCAGACUCCUACGGGAGGCAGCAG
rnacentral:rRNA from 1 species